UGUGAAAGGAGACAAAAACAUGGUGGACUAAUCUGCAAAUGUACUCUUAAACCUCUUCCCCAACGUGAUGUCCGCCGCCGAGGGAGAAACGCCGGUGGCCGAUGGGGCUCCGCCGCCAGAGGCGCUCUACUCCUUCGGGACGCCGUGGCCGGAGCUCAACCAAGGCCUCUCCUACAGCGACACGUUCCGAUGCGCUGAUGCGGACGCCGCCACCACCUUGAUUGAGUUCUACGCCACUAACUACAAGAGCUCCGCGCCAUUGCCAGGGUGGGUCAAGAGGAUUCGUAGCGGGCAGCGAAUGAAGGCUUCAUUUUCUUUGCAGAUAACUGUUGAUGGUGAAGUUGUCACCGAUCCGGAUAUGAUUUUGAGGGAUGGUUGUAAGUUGGUAUAUCAUCGUCUCCCUUGGCAGGAGCCAUUUGCGCCAUAUUUUCUGGAAGUGCUUUACGAGGAUGAUGACAUGGUUGCCCUUAAUAAGCCUUCUGGCUUGCAAGUUCUGCCUAAAGGACUCUUCCAGCAGCGCACUGUUCUAGCACAGCUUCAAUUGAAAGACUGGAAGAUGACAUCAUUCUACUCCAAGAGAAAACAUGUGCAGUCACAUCCAGUUCCUGUUCAUCGCUUAGGAAGGGGAACAUCAGGCCUCCUGCUCUGUGCCAAGACAAAGGUCGCCAAAGUUCGACUUGCAUCUUAUUUUGCUGAAGGAGCUAUAAAUGCUGGAAACAAAAGGGAUAAAUCAGAAUUCGGCGAGGAGCGGAAAAUUUCAAAAUUUUAUCGAGCCUUAGUGACUGGCAUACUUGAUAAUGAUGAAGUUGUGGUUACCCAACCCAUAGGGCUAGUUCAUUAUCCUGGAGUUGCAGAGGGACUUUAUGCAGCAUGUUCCUCAGGAAAGCCAGCAAUGAGCAACGUAUGUGUUCUUGAGAGACUUGCACACCAAAAUCAUACACUUGUCCAGGUUGAAAUUCAUUCAGGACGACCCCACCAAAUACGGAUACACCUUGCAUACAUUGGUCACCCUCUUGUAGGCAAGUUCCUUGCUCACUGCCAUUUAAAAAUGAUCCUCUGUAUGGUAUUGGUGGGCACCCCAAAUUUGUUGAGCCAGAAUCUACUGGCACAGAUAGUUCUUUUGCAUAUGAUGGAGGUUACGAGAGACCUUUACAACCUGUUCCUGGAGACUGUGGCUAUCACCUACAUGCACAUUGGCUGGUUCUUUGCCAUCCAACUACAAAUAAGAUAGUAAAAAUCACCGCUCCUCUGCCGCAAAUUCUACAGACUCGAGAGGAACGCCGUGCCACCGCCGAGCGAAUCAGUGGUUGAACCUGAUGGAUAUUUCAUAAAGAAGUAAUAUGGCAUUAAUGUAGCCUAUUACAUUCCCUCCAUUUCAUUGAGCACCUUGGCAGGAAAAAUAUCCCAAUUUACAGUGCACUUUGCUGGUGAAUGAAAUUUUGGACCUUUUUCAGCACAACUCUAGAUCCGAGAUCCAGGUUGGAUAUGUAGUUUGUAGACUUAAGGUAGUCUAAAUAUUCAUAUUUAGUACAAACUACAAUUAAAAUUAUUUAUCUAAAUGCUCAUGACAUACCUCCAGCUCCCGAUCUGGAUUUCUUGGAACUACCCACUUACCUAGCUCUAAGGGAU